rnacentral:rRNA from 1 species
UACGUAGGGUGCAAGCGUUAAUCGGAAUUACUGGGCGUAAAGCGUGCGCAGGCGGUCUUUUAAGACAGGUGUGAAAUCCCCGGGCUUAACCUGGGAACUGCAUUUGUGACUGAAAGGCUAGAGUACGGCAGAGGGGGAUGGAAUUCCGCGUGUAGCAGUGAAAUGCGUAGAUAUGCGGAGGAACACCGAUGGCGAAGGCAGUCCCCUGGGCCUGUACUGACGCUCAUGCGCGAAAGCGUGGGGAGCAAACAGG